GAUGAACGCUGGCGGCGUGCUUAACACAUGCAAGUCGAACGGAGUAUAUUUAGAAGCUUGCUUUUUAUAUACUUAGUGGCGGACGGGUGAGUAACGCGUGGGUAACCUGCCUUAUACCGGGGGACAACAGUUGGAAACGACUGCUAAUACCGCAUAAGCGCACGGGAAGGCAUCUUUCUGUGUGAAAAACUCCGGUGGUAUAAGAUGGACCCGCGUCUGAUUAGCCAGUUGGCGGUGUAACGGACCACCAAAGCGACGAUCAGUAGCCGGCCUGAGAGGGCAAACGGCCACAUUGGGACUGAGACACGGCCCAAACUCC
rnacentral:rRNA from 1 species